UACGUAGGGGGCAAGCGUUGUCCGGAUUCAUUGGGCGUAAAGAGCGUGUAGGCGGCCAGGUAGGUCGGUUGUGAAAACUGGAGGCUCAACCUUCAGAGGUCGACCGAAACCAUCUGGCUAGAGUCCGGGAGAGGAGAGUGGAAUUCCUGGUGUAGCGGUGAAAUGCGCAGAUAUCAGGAGGAACACCGAUGGCGAAGGCAGGUCUCUGGGCAUUAACUGACGCUGAGGAGCGAAAGCAUGGGGAGCGAACAGG
rnacentral:rRNA from 1 species